AUACAGAGGGUGCAAGCGUUAAUCGGAUUUACUGGGCGUAAAGCGCGCGUAGGCGGCUAAUUAAGUCAAAUGUGAAAUCCCCGAGCUUAACUUGGGAAUUGCAUUCGAUACUGGUUAGCUAGAGUGUGGGAGAGGAUGGUAGAAUUCCAGGUGUAGCGGUGAAAUGCGUAGAGAUCUGGAGGAAUACCGAUGGCGAAGGCAGCCAUCUGGCCUAACACCGACGCUGAGGUGCGAAAGCAUGGGGAGCAAACAGGAUUAGAAACCCCAGUAGUCC
rnacentral:rRNA from 1 species